CUACGUAGCUCAGUUGGUUAGAGCACAUCACUCAUAAUGAUGGGGUCACAGGUUCGAAUCCCGUCGUAGCCA
rnacentral:tRNA from 1 species